rnacentral:rRNA from 1 species
AGCAGUAGGGAAUCUUCCACAAUGGGCGAAAGCCUGAUGGAGCAACGCCGCGUGUGUGAUGAAGGCUUUCGGGUCGUAAAGCACUGUUGUAUGGGAAGAACAGCUAGAAUAGGAAAUGAUUUUAGUUUGACGGUACCAUACCAGAAAGGGACGGCUAAAUACGUGCCAGCAGCCGCGGUAAUACGUAUGUCCCGAGCGUUAUCCGGAUUUAUUGGGCGUAAAGCGAGCGCAGACGGUUUAUUAAGUCUGAUGUGAAAGCCCGGAGCUCAACUCCGGAAUGGCAUUGGAAACUGGUUAACUUGAGUGCAGUAGAGGUAAGUGGAACUCCAUGUGUAGCGGUG